rnacentral:rRNA from 2 species
UGGGGAAUAUUGCACAAUGGGGGAAACCCUGAUGCAGCGAUGCCGCGUGGAGGAAGAAGGUUUUCGGAUUGUAAACUCCUGUCUUAAGGGACGAUAAUGACGGUACCUUAGGAGGAAGCUCCGGCUAACUACGUGCCAGCAGCCGCGGUAAUACGUAGGGAGCGAGCGUUGUCCGGAAUUACUGGGUGUAAAGGGAGCGUAGGCGGGACGGCAAGUCAGGUGUGAAAUUUAUGGGCUUAACCCAUAAACUGCAUUUGAAACUGCUGUUCUUGAGUGAAGUAGAGGUAAGCGGAAUUCCUAGUGUAGCGGUGAAAUGCGUAGAUAUUAGGAGGAACAUCGGUGGCGAAGGCGGCUUACUGGGCUUUUACUGACGCUGAGGCUCGAAAGCGUGGGGAGCAAACAGG